rnacentral:tRNA from 3 species
GCUGCUGUAGCUCAGUGGUAGAGCACUUCCUUGGUAAGGAAGAGGUCAUGGGUUCAAUCCCCAUCAGCAGCUCCA